rnacentral:misc_RNA from 1 species
GGCAAGCUGUGAUCACAUCAUUAGCGACCAAGUCCUGAGGAAGUGCUGUCCUUAAAUUUCAGACGAUAGAAUUCAAGAAGCAUUGGUUAAAUAAAGCUAAAUAAUGAACCAAUUCAAAAGCUGUUGUAUUAGCAGGCAAUCUAUAUUAGGAUAAUGUUCAAAAGAUUACUUGUUGAGAAAAGGGGAUUGUCUCAGAUUACAAAUUGCAAAAAUGGGUACUCAAGUCAGUUGCUGCCUGUAGUUCUUAAAAAUAGCUUCUACAUCAGCUUUAUCUUUCUUUGCCUUUUCUCUAGCAUGCCCUAAUUGGCUCGGCUCCAUUUCAUUUCGCACCUUGAGGCUAAUUCCUUGUGAAACUUUCCACACUCAAAACAAUCAUUGAUCUUCCUCAAGUUUUCUUUCUCAGCUGCUUUAAGGCAGUCCAUUUCGGGCUUCAAUUUCCCCAUUUUAUCCUUAUAUUGGUUAUCAUUAGCCUUCAACUCCCUAAACAAGCGAUAUGCUUCCUGAAAGUCUUUCUUAGCCUGUUCUUUGUUGGCUUCCAGUUGUGAAGCCUUGGAUGCAACAAAAGAAGCAUUUCUGAACUUUGCUUCAAGAAUAUCAACCUCUUGCUCAAAGUUGGUGCUGAUAGCCAUCUGACCAGCAGCCAAACUAUCUUCAGAGCUACAUGUCAAGAGGUGUAAAGCUCUCUUGAGUUUCUUGAACUGUUCAGCGUCUUGAAGAAUUGAAGGUCCAGUUUUAAGUGCAUCAGUCACAUUUUGCAGUGCAACUUGAAUUUCUACAGUAGAUGGUGUGAGUUCAGAUUCAAAUUUCUCGAAAAGGGAGAGCAUCUCAUCGACCACAGCCUAAGAAGGGAACAUGUUAAAAAUAACAUGAUAUAAGUGGGAGGAAAGGGAUUAAGAUUUUUAGGGGAGCUCACCGCUUGUGGUUGUUCUGAAGCCGGUUUGCUUUUGGGAUUGAUCAAUAAGCGAGCUGAAGUAGACCUGGAUUUGGUCUUUCUGCCUGGCCUUCUUAAGCUGCCCUGUCGAGCUAAUUCACCCGGUUCUUGAGAUUGAUUUGCUUGUGCUUGAUGUUUUUUCGCUUGGUAUGAACCUUCUUUCCACCUCAAUUGAAGUGUCAGAAAUUGUUAGAUGCUAUAAUGGAAAGAAGUUGAGCUUAAGUUGGAGACUUUACUUGCUGCAAUUUAGAGGAAGGCUGGCAAGGUAUAUCUUCCCUAGCAACAUACUUGACUAUUUUCCCUUUUCCUUGAAGUGUUUGCUCUUCUGAAGGGGCUUCUUCUUCCUCGGCCUCUUCCGGGAUAAUGUCAUUUGGUAUAGCAUCUGUGAGCACAAAAACAUGUCUAUAAGAAGAAUGAUGAAAACAAAAGGGUUCACAGAUUGUUGUUGAGAUCAUUAGCAUGGAGCUCCAAUGGAGAGGAGAUA